rnacentral:rRNA from 1 species
AGUGAACGCUGGCGGUAGGCCUAACACAUGCCAGUCGAACGGCAGCACAGUAAGAGCUUGCUCUUACGGGUGGCGAGUGGCGGACGGGUGAGGAAUAUAUCGGAAUCUACUUUUUCGUGGGGGAUAACGUAGGGAAACUUACGCUAAUACCGCAUACGACCUACGGGUGAAAGCAGGGGAUCUUCGGACCUUGCGCGAUUGAAUGAGCCGAUGUCGGAUUAGCUAGUUGGCGGGGUAAAGGCCCACCAAGGCGCCGAUCCGUAGCUGGUCUGAGAGGAUGAUCAGCCACACUGGAACUGAGACACGGUCCAGACUCCUACGGGAGGCAGCAGUGGGGAAUAUUGGACAAUGGGCGCAAGCCUGAUCCAGCCAUACCGCGUGGGUGAAGAAGGCCUUCGGGUUGUAAAGCCCUUUUGUUGGGAAAGAAAAGCAGCAGGUUAAUACCCCGCUGUUCUGACGGUACCCAAAGAAUAAGCACCGGCUAACUUCGUG